rnacentral:rRNA from 1 species
UUGAACUGAAGAGUUUGAUCAUGGCUCAGAUUGAACGCUGGCGGCAGGCCUAACACAUGCAAGUCGAGCGGAUGAAGGGAGCUUGCUCCUGAAUUCAGCGGCGGACGGGUGAGUA